ACAAUGUAUUAAGAGUGAGAUUAAGUUCUCCUCCAACCUGCCAACUCCGGCAAGGUGGAAAAAUGAUACGGUUUUUAUUAACAACAAAUGGAGGUUCA
rnacentral:ncRNA from 10 species